rnacentral:lncRNA from 1 species
AUUCUGACAAAGACAAAACAGAUUAACACAAAGAUGAAAAGAGUGGCGAGAAAGACGAGAAAGACACUGGUAAUGACUCCAGUAAAGACUCAGAAGACGAGGGUCAAGAAACCUCUGAGACGCCAGACAAAAGCGACUCAGACACUGAUGAGGUGAAACUUUCAGACGACUCCAAAGACCAGGAUUCAGAAUCGAAAGACACUGACAGCACGGAGAAGAAAGAGAAGGAGCAGGACUCUGACAGCGACGCAGACACCAGCAGCGAUCAAGACACGGCAGAUUCCCCUGAUGCAGCAGACGCCAAGGACAGCGCUGAGGAUAAAGACAGGGACAGCAGCGACCCGAAAGACACUGAAGAUGAUGGAGACAGUGAGAAGGACGCCAAUGAGAAGGAGGACACCAAUGAGACGGGCAGCGAUAGCAAUGAGGGAAAAGAUAAAGAGGAGCAAUCCAAACCAGACGAGCAGGACAAGGAAGACAGCAGCUCAAAAGAAGACGUCACAGCCAGUCAGUCUGACGAAAGUCCACUGGAGGAAAUGACAGAAGACAAGCAGGAAGACAACCCUGAGUCUGACAGCUCCAGUCUAAACUCAAAUUCAGACUCAGACUCUGACAGCAAAGAUAAAGAGCAGGACAAAGAGAAGAACAGCACAGAGUCCACAGACACAGAAAGCUCCGACAGCGACAGCAAGAGCGACACGGACAGCUCUGAAACAGGAGGGGAAGAUACUGAUGAAGACAAUGACUCCAGCGUGGAAAAGGAGAAACAAGAGUCUCCUGAUGGUGCAUCAAUAGAGACAAAUGACUCUGACUCCAGCGAUGAUCAUGACAAUGACUCAACAGAUGCUACAACAUCAAACGAGGAACACACUGACGAAAACACUGAUGCAGACAGCCAUGACGCUGCAGACGAUGAUGAUGAAGUCAGGGUUGAAGAUGGCACAGACGCUGCUUCUAAAACACACGAUGAACCAGAUCAUCUUGAUGACACAAUACAAGGAUCAGAUGAUGGCAGCAAAACCCCUAUGCCAAGCUCCUAGCGACCAGGACUCUACAAAAACACUGUAACAGAUUUUUCCUGGAGAGACGUAAAAAGCUCCACCUGAGACAGUCAAGAUAACCAGAGUUUCACAUCCCAUUAAAACACAUUGACACGUCCCUCUAGUCCUUUCUCUCUCUCUCUCUCUCUCUCUCUCUCAUAUGGUGAAGGUUCCUUUCUAAGGGUUCUGGGAUGCAGAUUAAAUUAUUUGGCUGUUUGCUGUACAUUCCAUUUUUUAACCUUGUCCUAAUUCUAGAACUUUUGUAUCGUUUGAUAUAUUAAUUUGACCAAAUUUAGAUGGAAAUGCAUGAUGAACAGUGAGGUUCUGGAACUGCGUAUCUCAUGCAUUUGUCUGUUUGCGUAGGGCCUAAAUAUAUUUUGUUUUGAGUGACACAUUAAACUUAGAGAGUAGAACUAAAAGAAGGAAUUUUGAGAAAGCUACACGAUUUGGGUCUGGUGAAAAUGUUGAUCUGUCAAACCUGUGAUGGUUCCACUGGUUUGGCCACAUGGUGUCCCCAUCUUUGGCACUGACUGAAAGACUGCAGCUGCUACAACGAGAACCUUCCCUCUUGCUCUCAGAUAAACGCCGGCCUGAAAUGUCACAGAAUGAGAUAUUUUCUGCCCACCCAAUGAUUUGAGACUGUACAGACAAUUUCUGAUAGAAUCUCUGAUGUCUAUGUCUCUGUGGAGGAAUACUAAUAAACUAGCAAUGUAAGAGCACAGAUUGUUCUGAAAACUGUCAAAAAAAAUAAUUUUGUAUAGAUUUACAAGAAGUCAUUUUAAUAUGUACACAGGGAGCAAAUCUAAUAAAGACUGGGUUGUCAGAAAAUUAAACGACCAUGGAGUAUUUA